UACGUAGGGCGCAAGCGUUGUCCGGAAUUAUUGGGCGUAAAGAGCUCGUAGGCGGUUUGUCGCGUCUGCUGUGAAAACCUAAGGCUCAACCUUGGGCUUGCAGUGGGUACGGGCAGACUAGAGUGCGGUAGGGGUGACUGGAAUUCCUGGUGUAGCGGUGAAAUGCGCAGAUAUCAGGAGGAACACCGGUGGCGAAGGCGGGUCUCUGGACCGAUACUG
rnacentral:rRNA from 1 species